rnacentral:rRNA from 1 species
GGUCUUCGGAUUGUAAAGCACUUUAAGUUGGGAGGAAGGGCAGUAAGUUAAUACCUUGCUGUUUUGACGUUACCAACAGAAUAAGCACCGGCUAACUUCGUGCCAGCAGCCGCGGUAAUACUACGGGAGGCAGCAGUGGGGAAUAUUGGACAAUGGGCGAAAGCCUGAUCCAGCCAUGCCGCGUGUGUGAAGAAGGUCUUCGGAUUGUAAAGCACUUUAAGUUGGGAGGAAGGGUUGUAGCCUAAUACGUUGCAACUUUGACGUUACCGACAGAAUAAGCACCGGCUAACUUCGUGCCAGCAGCCGCGGUAA